UACGUAGGAUCCAAGCGUUAUCCGGAAUUACUGGGCGUAAAGCGUACGUAGGUGGCUGUUUAAGUGAGAUGCGAAAUCUGGCGGCUCAACCGUCUAGACUGUAUCUCAUACUGGGCAGCUGGAGGUUGGCAGAGGCAAGUGGAAUUUCCGGUGUAGCAGUGAAAUGCGUAGAGAUCGGAAGGAACACCAAUGGCGAAGGCAGCUUGCUGGGCCACACCUGACGCUCACACACGAAAGCCAGGGUAGCGAACGGG
rnacentral:rRNA from 1 species